rnacentral:rRNA from 1 species
CCUACGGGUGGCAGCAGUGAGGAAUAUUGGUCAAUGGGCGUAAGCCUGAACCAGCCAUCCCGCGUGAAGGAAGAAGGCGCUAUGCGUCGUAAACUUCUUUUCCAGAGGAAUAAAAUUUCGUACGUGUACGGAACUGAAGGUACUUUGGGAAUAAGCAUCGGCUAACUCCGUGCCAGCAGCCGCGGUAAUACGGAGGAUGCGAGCGUGAUUCGGAUUAAUUGGGUUUAAGGCGUGCGUAGGCGUAUUAGUAGAAAACCUUCAGCUUAACUGGAGAACUGCCAUUGAUACUGUUAGUCUUGAGUACGGUCAAGGUAGGCGGAAUGUGUAAUGUAGCGGUGAAAUGCUUAGAUAUUACACAGAACACCGAUUGCGAAGGCAGCUUACUGGGCCAUUACUGACGCUGAUGCACGAAAGCGUGGGGAGCGAACAGGAUUAGAUACCCUAGUAGUC